GAUGCUAGACCCUUGGCAUGACAUGCAGCCAUGGCCUCAGCCCUUACCCAAGGUCACAAGGUGGGCUGGUUCCCUAUGGUGGGCUCUGCACUCACAGCUCUGCAGCCCAGUGCACCAACAGCGCUCAGCUCCCACGGCGGUGAGAGGCGUUAGCUAAUUAAACCUUCCCUCAUCUGUGGGAGAGAGAGAAAACCACAAUGGAGUAGAAGUGAGCAAAGGGUGUUGUGUUCCUCUAAAAGCAGCCAAGGGCCCUCUCAGAUGGUUUCAGGCUUUGAAGGUACAGACUGAGCAAAGAGCUAAAGAGAAGAUUUUGUUCUUAUUUUACGUUAAGAACUUCUGCUUAAGUGUGCCCAUCAGUGCUCUCCUGAAGCUGCCAGACUUCAGAGCAAAUCACGGAACAUUCUGAGUUGGAAGGGACCCACAAGGAGCACUGAGUCCAGCUCCUGCUGCAGCCCUUUUUGAACGAUUAAAGGAACCCUUAUUUGGCCCCCAUACCCAUUCAUUACCCUUUUCAUUCUUUCUAACCCCGAGCACCUCAAGAUGCAAAGACUUUGCUGCCUUCAGAUCUGUGCUUUCCCAGCUUCCCCAGUCAGUUUAGCAAACUGGUUAGCACAAGAUGUUACUCCUGGAUUUGUCCAUGUUUUCCUCACUGCUGAUUGCCUAGCAAAGCAGCCACCAGCACCAAGAGGGGCCGGCAAUACACUGUGCUGGGGUUGCUGACAUGGGAGGCUGAGUGCAGCAGGGCUAUCCUGGGCUGCUGCACGUCAGCCAGGGGAGAAGGAUUCUGAGAGAUUGUCUCUGAAAUUUUCCUCGUGGUGCACUGACUAAGAGGAGGAGUGUUGGCCUGCAGCAAGGUACAGCAGCAAUGGAAGGCUGCCAGAGUCAAAUAGAGGGAGUGCAGAUGCAACUGGAGCUUGUAAAGUGGCAAAUUGUAA
rnacentral:lncRNA from 1 species